GGAAUCUUGCACAAUGGGCGAAAGCCUGAUGCAGCGACGCCGCGUGCGGGACGAAGGCCUUCGGGUUGUAAACCGCUUUCAGCAGGGACGAGGCCGCGAGGUGACGGUACCUGCAGAAGAAGCCCCGGCUAACUACGUGCCAGCAGCCGCGGUAAUACGUAGGGGGCGAGCGUUAUCCGGAUUCAUUGGGCGUAAAGCGCGCGUAGGCGGCCCGUUUGGUCGGGAGUUAAAUCCGGGGACUCAACCCCCGCCCGCUCCCGAUACCGGCGGGCUGGAGUCUGGUAGGGGAAGGCGGAAUUCCCAGUGUAGCGGUGGAAUGCGCAGAUAUUGGGAAGAACACCGGUGGCGAAGGCGGCCUUCUGGGCCACGACUGACGCUGAGGCGCGAAAGCUAGGGGAGCGAACA
rnacentral:rRNA from 1 species